rnacentral:rRNA from 1 species
GUUGGGAAUAUUGCGCAAUGGGCGACAGCCUGACGCAGCGACGCCGCGUGGUCGAAGAAGCCUUUCGGGGUGUAAAGACCUUUUUUAGGGGACGAUUGUGACGGUACCCUAAGAAUAAGAGCCUGCUAACUACGUGCCAGCAGCAGCGGUAAUACGUAGGGCUCGAGCGUUGUCCGGAAUUAUUGGGCGUAAAGAGUAUGUAGGUGGAACUUUAAGUCGAAUUUAAAAUACUUGGGCUUAACUCAAGUUCUGGAUUUGAAACUAGAGUUCUAGAGUUUAGCAGGGGCAAGCGGAACUGGCGGUGUAGCAGUGAAAUGCGUUGAUAUCGCCAAGAACACCAAUGGCGAAGGCAGCUUGCUAGGUUAUUACUGACACUGAGAUACGAAAGCGUGGGGAGCGAACGGGAUUAGAUACCCCUGUAGUCC